CCUCAUGCUAGCCACUUUACAUUGUUGUUUUGCUGGUGGUGGUCUAAAGAUUUCAUUUUUAUAGGCCCUCAAAGCCUAGGAAAAACUUGCUGCGCCACCGAACUAAAGAAGGUGCUGAGAAAACCCACAAGAUGUGCAGUUGCUGCCUGGCUUGAUUGGCCGUUUGUAGCUGUGUAAGAGCCUGCUUGAUGCUACCAUUGUGUGUAGGUGAGUGAAGCAUUGAUAAUUCUUUUAUGAAAGCAAUUCUGAAUGAAGGACUGAUAAGCUGAGUUUAUGAUUCUUACAUUCCAGGAUUGUUUUGUUGCUAGCACAUUAGAAAUUGUGACUAGUCA
rnacentral:lncRNA from 1 species